AGGGUUUGAUUAUGGCUCAGGAUGAACGCUAGCUACAGGCCUAACACAUGCAAGUCGAGGGGCAGCAUGAUUGAAGCUUGCUUCAAUUGAUGGCGACCGGCGCACGGGUGAGUAACGCGUAUCCAACCUGCCCUUUACUCGGGGAUAGCCUUUCGAAAGAAAGAUUAAUACCCGAUGGUUUCGGGAUUCCGCAUGAGAUUCCGAAUAAAGAUUUAUUGGUAAAGGAUGGGGAUGCGUUCCAUUAGAUAGUAGGCGGGGUAACGGCCCACCUAGUCGACGAUGGAUAGGGGUUCUGAGAGGAAGGUCCCCCACAUUGGAACUGAGACACGGUCCAA
rnacentral:rRNA from 1 species